rnacentral:lncRNA from 1 species
AGACUAAAUUUUUUCCUAUGGUGUGCUUCAAGACACUAAAGCACCUAGAAAUGGAUAAGAGGGUUGACACUGAGGAAAAAAGGAUGACAAGCUGAAGAAGAAGAUAAGCUCUCCUCCACACAUCGCCAUACUCAAACAGUCGUCGUCGUCGUCAUCCACCUUCUCAAUAAAGUUGGGUUUUCCCCUUGAGAUUUAGAAUAAGUUUGGCUCGAUUCUCAUGGUUUGAUUAUUAAUCUUGUUGUUAUCAUUAACAUAUGAUAAAUGGAGAAGUUCGUAUCUCAUCAUCUAUGUUUAAAUGUUACAUUCACACGUUGUUUAUCAAAUAUUCAUAAAUAUUUAUUUUUAUUUAUAUACAUAAUUUCUUUAUAUUAUAUAUAAAUGUUAUCUUUUUCUAAUCAACAAAAUUUAACUUUUCAUAAAAAUUAAUGUGACGAAACAAAUUUUUUUUAUCAGCCAAUCAUAUGUUUCUUCUUGUUUUUUAUAAAAUAAUAUUUAUGAGUGAUGGACUAAAUUUGUGAGACUAAAUUUUUUCCUAUGGUGUGCUUCAAGACACUAAAGCACCUAGAAAUGGAUAAGAGGGUUGACACUGAGGAAAAAAGGAUGACAAGCUGAAGAAGAAGAUAAGCUCUCCUCCACACAUCGCCAUACUCAAACAGUCGUCGUCGUCGUCAUCCACCUUCCCCUAACUCUUCUCUCUCAGUCCAACUUCGACUCUUCUCUUUCAACUCUGCGCAGCAGCUGAAGCCGGCCGCUCAAUCAUGGCUUCCCUCCAAAACUCACCUUCCCUCUAUCGUACAUUG